rnacentral:rRNA from 1 species
UACGUAGGGGGCAAGCGUUGUCCGGAUUUACUGGGCGUAAAGAGCGUGUAGGCGGCCACGCAGGUCCGUUGUGAAAACUGGAGGCUCAACCUCCAGCUGUCGACGGAAACCGUGUGGCUAGAGUCCGGAAGAGGAGAGUGGAAUUCCUGGUGUAGCGGUGAAAUGCGCAGAUAUCAGGAAGAACACCAAUGGCGAAGGCAGCUCUCUGGGACGGUACUGACGCUGAAACGCGAAAGCCAGGGGAGCAAACGGG